rnacentral:rRNA from 1 species
AUUGAACGCUAGCGGGAUGCUUUACACAUGCAAGUCGAACGAGUGGCGGACGGGUGAGUAAUAUAUGGGAACGUGCCCGGUAGCGGGGGAUAACUACUGGAAAGGGUGGCUAUUACCGCAUACCUUCGGAGGGGCCGAUAUGGGAUUAGCUAGUGUGUGGGGUAAAGGCUCACAAAGGCAACGAUCCGUAGCUGGUUUGAGAGGACGACCAGCCACACUGGGACUGAGACACGGCCCAGACUCCUACGGGAGGCAGCAGUGGGGAAUUUUGGACAAUGGGGGAAAGCCUGAUCCAGCCAUCCCGCGUGUAUGAGAAGGCCUUCGGGUUGUAAAGUACUUUUGGCAGAGAAGCGGUAUCUGCAGAAUAAGCACCGGCUAACUACGUGCCAGCCGCCGCGGUAAUAC